AUUUUCAAUUUGUUAAUUGUAGAAGAUUAACAUACUAAUGCUGUUCUAAAAAGGGUAAUCUCCUUCGGGCUCAGUUGAACUUUGGCCAUGGGUAAGUGUAGAGGACAGGUUGGGAAGAGUACGAACCCUUGGAAUGAAUUUCGUUAAUGUGUUCCACAUUGCAAGGUUGCUUUCUUCUUCAUUACUCUUUGUCUUGUGCUUAUAAAAAGACGUUGAUUCAUAAAUUAUCUCGUAUCGUUGAAUGUUAGACCUGGAAGAAAUGGUUUUGUAGAAAAAGACAGCAAACAUUGCGUUCAUACUUCGCUGAGUACUACAUAUUCAAAAAAUCGUUUAUGGAAACUUAUCGAAUAGCCAUGCAAUGGACGAUGGAUGGUAAACAUGAAAAGAUGGCACAUCGAGAACAAUUUUUGCAUGUCCUUCUUAUAUGAAAAUACGAAAAUUCAAAGAGUAAACAAACUAUUUUUAAGUAUUUUGGCCAGUAUCGAUGAACCAAAUGACUACAUCAAUUUUCAUUAUUGGUUCAAUUGCUAGUUGUUUGCAAUUACUGGGGACACGGUAUUACAUAUCUGUAAGGCAAAGUUUAUCGGGAAUCUUUUGAAUAGAAAACCAGUAUACUCCAGUAUAUUUAUAAACUAAUUAUUAUUUGGCAAUACCACUUAAUUAUUUAAAACGGUUCGUAGCUUCACUCCUCAACUAGAAACGUCCCAACAUCCAAGGUUGAAACAAAAGGUACAUUACAAACUAGAGAAGUUAAAACAAUCAGUGGAUUGAAAAUCUCUUAAAUUUACUAAUUCCUGAUACUAUGGGAUACGACUUCACAUUUCUACAGACUUCCUCAUCUAGCAAUACACUAGUUCUGUUAAACAAAAUUGGAUAAUUGUGCCUUUAAAAAUAUUACAGAAAAAAAGUAUAAUGGCAAUUUUUUCUUAUCUGUAGGAUUUGUUUAGCAGCUACACGAGAUUUACCUACCUUGCGGAGUUCUCAGUAGAAGAAGAACUCGUUGCUUUUCAAGUAUUUGGCAAACAGAGAUGCAUUGCACAA